rnacentral:lncRNA from 1 species
GCUCCGCGAGCCAUGGACGACCCCUGCUCGCCGCAGCCCGACUACCCGAGCACCCCUCCGCACAAGACCUUCCGCAAGCUGCGCCUGUUCGACACGCCGCACACUCCCAAGGUAAUGGAGGGGGCGGAGGAGCCGGCUCCAGGGCCUUUAAAAAAAAAGGCCGCGGCGCUGCAGCCCUGCGCGCCACUGCCCGGGUUCGGUUACAUAACCGCCCCGCCGCACCCCGCUCGCUGUCCUGCGCCGCCAC